UACAGAGGGUGCAAGCGUUAAUCGGAAUUACUGGGCGUAAAGAGUUCGUAGGCGGUUUGUCGCGUCGUUCGUGAAAACUUGGGGCUUAACUCCAAGCGUGCGGGCGAUACGGGCAGACUUGAGUACUACAGGGGAGACUGGAAUUCCUGGUGUAGCGGUGAAAUGCGCAGAUAUCAGGAGGAACACCGGUGGCGAAGGCGGGUCUCUGGGUAGUAACUGACGCUGAGGAACGAAAGCGUGGGUAGCGAACAGG
rnacentral:rRNA from 1 species